rnacentral:rRNA from 1 species
UGGCUCAGAUUGAACGCUGGCGGCAGGGCCUAACACAUGCAAGUCGAGCGGUAGCACAGAGAGCUUGCUCUCGGGUGACGAGCGGCGGACGGGUGAGUAAUGUCUGGGAAACUGCCUGAUGGAGGGGGAUAACUACUGGAAACGGUAGCUAAUACCGCAUAACGUCGCAAGACCAAAGUGGGGGACCUUCGGGCCUCAUGCCAUCAGAUGUGCCCAGAUGGGAUUAGCUAGUAGGUGGGGUAAYGGCUCACCUAGGCGACGAUCCCUAGCUGGUCUGAGAGGAUGACCAGCCACACUGGAACUGAGACACGGUCCAGACUCCUACGGGAGGCAGCAGUGGGGAAUAUUGCACAAUGGGCGCAAGCCUGAUGCAGCCAUGCCGCGUGUGUGAAGAAGGCCUUCGGGAAGUAAAGCACUUUCAGCGGGGAGGAAGGCG